UAGGGAAUCUUCCACAAUGGGCGCAAGCCUGAUGGAGCAACACCGCGUGAGUGAAGAAGGGUUUCGGCUCGUAAAGCACUGUUGUAAGAGAAGAAUGACAUUGAGAGUAACUGUUCAAUGUGUGACGGUAUCUUACCAGAAAGGAACGGCUAAAUACGUGCCAG
rnacentral:rRNA from 1 species